rnacentral:rRNA from 1 species
CCCUUAGAUGUUCUGGGCCGCACGCGUGCUACACUGAGUAAUUCAAUGGGUAAGGGAACGCUAGAGCAUUACCUAAUCUUGAAAUUUGCUCGUGAUGGGGAUCGACGGUUGCAAUUUUCCGUCGUGAACGAGUAAUACCUUGUAGGCGCAUGUCAUCAUCAUGCGCCGAAUACGUCCCUGCCCUUUGUACACACCGCCCGUCGCUCCUACCGAUUGAGUGAUCCGGUGAGGCUCUGGGACCUGGACGGAAAGAGCGUUUCGCUUGUUCUGUUUGGGAAACUUGGUCGAACCUUAUCAUUUAGAGGAAGGAGAAGUCGUAACA